ensembl:lncRNA novel transcript
GGCAGAGGGGGAUUUGCCAGGGUAAAGAGGAGGCUGGGAGGAAGAGGCCUGCCGAGGGAGGCUUUGUCUUUUCAGCCAGAGUUUGACAAUUAGGCUUCAUCAUGUCACGAUGCGGUGCUACUGCUGACCCCAAAACACAACGCCGGAAGUGGUGCUCACUAGAGACUGUGAGUGGCAUUGUGCACCUGCCAUCUUGCUGAGGCCUCCCAGGGGAGCUCAGAGGACACCUGGCCUCCUUCAAUCCAGGACUCACUGUUGAAGUGGAGCCGGGGCCCUCGCAGGAAAGAAUGAGCUGUGGGAGGGCCACUGGUCCACCACAGGGAGUCUGUGCUGUCCAGUGCCCACUGGAUGGCAGGAAGGGUAGGGCCUUAGAUGUGUCAGAACUGUGACGCUGAAUCCGGAGCCCCAACCUCUCCUAGCCUCCUAGAGGAGGAUGACCCAGGACCCUUGUCCUCCCAACAGCAGGCCACCAGUUCAAGGGACAAGAAGCCCCUAAGCUCCCUCCACCUUUCACAUAGGGCCCAGGUGGCCUUGGAGUACCUGCCUUUCUUCUGCACCUAUGGGUGCCUCCUGGAAGAGGAGGGGUUGGUCCUGCAGCCCAAGACACCGCUCCAGGAGGACUCAGAACUGCUCAGUGGGUUCUUCCCUUACUACCGCUCUGAGGAGGAGAGUUUGCCCAGCCUGGCCCUUCCUGGCUGGUCACACAGGGGCUCCCAAGAUCUGCCCACUGAGAAGGAGGCACGGGCUGGCUGCUUCUGCAGGACAACAGUCAGGGACGAAUGCUCUGUCUCGGCAGAGUUCCCCCGUGACAGUGACCGGGAUGCCCCUCUCUCCAGGGACCAUGGUCUUUAUGCCUCAGGAUUUGUGCAUUACUACAGAACCCCUGAGGAGGGGUUACACACUAGCCCUGGGCCUCCUGCCUUUCCAUCUGGGAGCCAGGGGCCCUCAGGGGCUGCCCAGGGCUGGUGCAGUCACACCACGGGGAAGCCGGAGCUGACUGCAACAGAAACCACUGGAGAGCAGGCCCCCAGCACCCACUGACUGUCGAGGGAUGAAGCCUGACCCAAGCUCAGACAGAGGAAGCAGGAGCCACCUGAACAACUGAAGGGUGCAGACACCCAGAAGCUGGUUUUGUAAAUAAAUCGUGCACCUUGGCGCUGGUGCACUAAUUGGA